UGCCCGUCCUGCUGACGGAUGGACCGACGGACCACCUGACCUCUCUGAGGCUCCCUGGCCCUCUUCAUGCCCCCGACCCACCACACCCCUUCUGCCAGGGUGCCCCUCCCCCGGGGCAGUGACUCAUCGCCCAUCAGCCCGUCUGCCCACCACUGGGCCCCCGUCGUCAUGAGCUGAAGGAAUGAAGGACCCUGGGUGGAGACGGAAGGGCCUGACACCUCCCACAAAGCACGGCCCGCUCGCCCCUCUGCUCCUUCAGUCCCAGGGCUGCUGUGAGGGUCAGAAGUCAGGCCGCAUGGACCACAGGAUCACAGGAAUGGCGGCAGAGCCUGUUGAGUACCUGCCUCUUUUCUGUUCCUCAAAUGGGCCAAGCAUACUCAACCUCAGGACCUUUGCACUGGCCAUCUCCACCGCCUGGAUGCUCUUCCUCCAGUGACUCACCCCCACUUGCCUUCUGGUUAAAUGGCACCUCCUCCCAGAGGCCUUCCCUGACCACCCUCCUAGCACUCUCUAUCCCCUUUACCCUGAUUUCUUUUUCUUUACAGCAUCUACCACCACCUGACACAGUAUAUUAAAACCCAAUUCCUUUGUU